UACAGAGGGUGCGAGCGUUGUUCGGAAUUACUGGGCGUAAAGGGUGCGUAGGCGGGUCUUUAAGUCAGGGGUGAAAUCCUGGAGCUCAACUCCAGAACUGCCUUUGAUACUGAAGGUCUUGAGUUCGGGAGAGGUGAGUGGAACUGCGAGUGUAGAGGUGAAAUUCGUAGAUAUUAGGAAGAACACCAGUGGCGAAGGCGGCUCACUGGUCCGGUACUGACGCUGAGGCACGAAGGCCAGGGGAGCAAACGGG
rnacentral:rRNA from 1 species